rnacentral:rRNA from 1 species
GACAGAGGGUGCAAACGUUGUUCGGAAUUACUGGGCGUAAAGCGUGUGUAGGCGGUCCACUAAGUCGGGUGUGAAAGCCCUGGGCUCAACCCAGGAAGUGCACUCGAAACUGGCGGGCUAGAGUACCGGAGAGGUUGGUGGAAUUCUCGGUGUAGAGGUGAAAUUCGUAGAUAUCGAGAGGAACACCGGUGGCGAAGGCGGCCAACUGGACGAAUACUGACGCUGAGACACGAAAGCGUGGGGAGCAAACAGG